rnacentral:rRNA from 1 species
UACGUAGGGAGCAAGCGUUGUCCGGAAUCAUUGGGCGUAAAGAGCGUGUAGGCGGCCCGGUAAGUCGGUUGUGAAAGUCAAGGGCUCAACCCUUGAAAGCCGACCGAUACUGCCGGGCUAGAAUCCGGAAGAGGCGAGUGGAAUUCCUGGUGUAGCGGUGAAAUGCGCAGAUAUCAGGAGGAACACCGGUGGCGAAGGCGGUUCUCUGGGCAUUACCUGACGCUGAGGAGCGAAAGUGUGGGGAGCGAACAGG